AACGUAGGUCACAAGCGUUGUCCGGAAUUACUGGGUGUAAAGGGAGCGCAGGCGGGAAGACAAGUUGGAAGUGAAAUCCAUGGGCUCAACCCAUGAACUGCUUUCAAAACUGUUUUUCUUGAGUAGUGCAGAGGUAGGCGGAAUUCCCGGUGUAGCGGUGGAAUGCGUAGAUAUCGGGAGGAACACCAGUGGCGAAGGCGGCCUACUGGGCACCAACUGACGCUGAGGCUCGAAAGUGUGGGUAGCAAACAGGAUUAGAUACCCUUGUAGUCCGCACUGAU
rnacentral:rRNA from 1 species